GAUGAACGCUGGCGGCGUGCCUAAUACAUGCAAGUCGAGCGAACAGACGAGGAGCUUGCUCCUCUGACGUUAGCGGCGGACGGGUGAGUAACACGUGGAUAACCUACCUAUAAGACUGGGAUAACUUCGGGAAACCGGAGCUAAUACCGGAUAAUAUAUUGAACCGCAUGGUUCAAUAGUGAAAGACGGUUUUGCUGUCACUUAUAGUUGGAUCCGCGCCGCAUUAGCUAGUUGGUAAGGUAACGGCUUACCAAGGCAACGAUGCGUAGCCGACCUGAGAGGGUGAUCGGCCACACUGGAACUGAGACACGGUCCAGACUCCUACGGGAGGCAGCAGUAGGGAAUCUUCCGCAAUGGGCGAAAGCCUGACGGAGCAACGCCGCGUGAGUGAUGAAGGUCUUCGGAUCGUAAAACUCUGUUAUUAGGGAAGAACAAAUGUGUAAGUAACUAUGCACGUCUUGACGGUACCUAAUCAGAAAGCCACGGCUAACUACGU
rnacentral:rRNA from 1 species